rnacentral:lncRNA from 1 species
AAAUUAUAUUGAUAGGUAUGAUUUGACAUGGUGUUUUUCAGUUUAAUGUGUUCUUGAUUUAUCUAUGUUUCUCAUAUUGGAUCCAAUUUUAAAUGUCAAAAUUUAUAAGACUUGACUUAACUUAAAUAUUGAUUGGCUUAAAGUUGCAGCUUCAUCUGGAGAUAUGAGGAAAACUCUUGGUAUCUGCAGGUUGGCAUAUUCUCCAUUUUUUUUAAAAUUGUUUUAUUGCCUAAAAAGUCUCUCAAGGUUUCAUAUAUUUGGAUUAAACUGACGCUUUUAUCCUUGGUGUAUUUUUUUUCAAUGAUUUUCAAGUAAGAUACCCUUAGAUUACAAAGUUUGACAUUUUCAAAGUUAAGUUAUAAUAAACAAUCACUAUUCACAAAAUGUUUAACUUUUUUACUUAUUUUUCUUUAUUCUGGUUAGGAACCUUUACUGAAGGAUGUUUUUGGUGAUUGGAAUUGAUAGAGAGAUUGAGAAGGAAACAUGUUGCAUUUUCCUGCUGUAGAAUAUUUUCAGCCUUAAAGUUAAAAAUUUGAAGGCUCCCAUGGUUGGUAUUGACAAAUUGGAGGUAAACACUUUUUUACCAUCUCUUUUCAUUUUUGGUUGUUUUAUGUGCUGUUGUUGUGUGUUAGUGGUUAAGAAUGGUGUGGCCAUGUGUGUAUGUAUCCGACUAUUUGAUAUUUUUAUCUACUCUUCAACAUCAAAUAAGUUUUAAAAUACCAAAAGACUUAAAUAUAUUUUUUUAAAACUAUUUAUGUAUCAACACUUUUUGUGCUAGAAAAAAACUAAAAUAAUAUAUAUUUGUUGAAAUGUUAGUCUUAUUGUAACAAAAUGUUUUACCUUCGUUUGUCUGGUGCAGGUUAGAUGAGAGAGACUUUGUUAUUGAGUGGCUUUAUUGUCACAUUUGGAACGUAAGAGCACCAGCUUUGUUCAUUUCUACCUUCAAUGUUGUAUGUAACUUCAUUUUCAUAUUUGGAACUUAUGUAUAAACACUUAAUGCUGGACGCUUAUUGUUGGCCUGGUACAAAUAAGGUCAUCUAUUUUAACUUUACAUCAUCUAUUUAAUCAUAUAGUUAUGUAUAUAUUUGUUUUAUAGCAUAAAUUCAAAAUCAAAACAUGUAUAA